rnacentral:lncRNA from 12 species
AUCAACUUGUACAGAUGUAGAAAUUAUUGGUGCUUAGUUGAAGAGAGCCAGGUGUCUGGAAAGCCAGACACAGAUAGUCAUAUGUACAAAUAUAGAAUGAGAAGUUUUAAGGAAAAAAAAAACAGAAAUGAGAUACUGCUUUUUUCCCUCCCUUUCUUAUUGCUCUCUGCUUUGGAAGACAUUUAACUGAUCAAAAAGUAAGCUUACUUUCUCUCUCACUUUAUAAAUGGUAUUCUGUGUACGUACAUUACGCGUGAUAGUUUCUUCUUAGUAUUCAGUAUUCUCUAGAAGAGAUGCUUUAAUUUUCCCUUUGUUUUUUGUUUUGUUUUGGACUUUGGGUAUGGAGGCUUGAGGUGACACACUUCUUGGUUUAUGACUUUCACCAUCAAUUGACAACGAAAGGCUCUGAUUCAAUGGACUGAUUGCCUUCUGUCUCCCUUUCCCACAUCCAUUUGCUUCCCUCCACUCACAUGCUACCAUUCUAAUACCAUUCAUAUAAAUCAUUUUAGUUGGAUGUGUUCUUAUAAAACGUGGGCCCGCAUUAUUCAUUUAAAUUAAUGAACAUUCCUCCGCUCAUUAUCUUUUAGACUACAUGAUAGAAUUAAUGUUACACGACAGAAAUUACAUGAUGGAAGUUUCAGUGUUCUUCAUUAGGUUAAUGACUAGAUAUUUUUUUAUUUUUCUAUUUUUUAUGUAGUAAUAUAGUUUUUGGUUGUUAGGAAGUUUGGAAUCUCAUUUUUAUUAUAUUUUCCAUUUGUUGCUGGCUGGGCUUUUUUAGCUACUGCCACAAUAAUGCUAAUAAGAACCUAAAUAACAACAAGCUCAGUGACUAUAAUAGAGACUUGGUUUUUAUUUUUGAUUAUAGUUCAAAUUACUUAUCGCUGGUUUUAUUAGCUGUAACUCCAGCAAUGUGGUAUAAUAAGCCAAUCCAAAACUCCAUGGUUUACAAAACUAAAUAUGUCUAUUUCUCUCUCAGGUGUCCUUAGGUUGACUAGGGCUCUCAGGACUGGACGAAGAACAGCUGAUCUUGGCUCUGGGCUACAGGUUGGCUGCAGGUCCACUCUAUAUGGCUCUCCAUUCUCCUUGAAACGGGAGAUACCUAAGGAAUAUUCUUCUCUUGGUGACUGGCAGGAGUGCAAGAGAACCAAACUGAACCAUUCAAAUGGUGACAUGGACAAAUGCAAGGCAUAA